rnacentral:lncRNA from 1 species
ACAGUUAUGGGAAUCAAGUGCAGCAGCAACAUUACAUGCAAAUAGGAGAAGAAAGGACAGACAGGAGUGGUGGGAAGGGACGGUGGGGGAAAAGGAGCGAAAGGAACCUUGACACCACAACUGCGGCAGGAGAUACUGACCAGGUGAGAGCACAAAGGAAGCAGCUGGAGGCCCGUGGGCACCCCCUGGAAGACCAGUGCAACCCUGGUACUUCUGUGACUCUGCCACAACACACAGACAUGCACUGAACGCUGUUCAUUUCAUGCAUUGUAAAUUUACUUCUCCAUAUUCUUUUAUUACUAUUUCAACAUUUAAAAAGGUCAUUCUUGGCUGGGCGCAGUGGCUGACGAUUGUAAUCACAGUAUUUUGGGAGGUUGAGGCGGGCAGAUCACCUGAGGUCAGGAGUUUGUGACCAGCUUGAUCAACAUGGUGAAAACUGUUUCAACUGAAAAUACAAAAAUUAACCAGGUGUGGUGUCGCGUGCCUGUAAUCCCAGCUACUUGGGAGCCUGAGGCAGGAGAAUCACUUGAACCUGGGAGGUGGAGGCUGCUGUGAGCCGAGAUCAUGCCACUGCACUCCAGCCUGGGUGACAGAGUGAGACUCCAUCUCAAAACUAAGAAUAAUAAUAUUUCUUUUAGACUAAUUGUGUAUCUAGGAAAAUAAAGAUGGAUUAAAUAAAUCUUCUGAAAUUAAGUGCGCUUAAGCGCUUUGUUUUGCAAUUUUCAAAACAUAAAACAUAUAAAAAUAUAAAGAGAGUUCAUAACGUUUUUCAAGUAAAAUCCCUGUAGGGUAUUUAUAUGUAACUAUAUUUAAAUUAUUAACAAAUGUAAACGGUGUUUUAAAAAUAUUAGAAAUAAGAUGCUUAGAAAUAGUUUAUUUGUGUACUCUCAGCACUUUCUGUGUAUUUCUGUUCUUUAAAUUAUCUGCCAAAAAAAAAAUUAUUUGGGUAAUGAGGGUAAAGAGAAUAAACAUUUCUUGAACACCUCUCUCUAGAACUUUGCAUUUAUCAUCUCAAUUACUUUGAACAGUAAACAAAUUUGGAAUGUGAGGCUCCAGGAGGUUAAGUGAUCUGCCAGCAUCACACACAGCAUGGGAAGUGGUGGGGCUGACGGGGGUUUCCAGCUUGGUGUCACCCCACAUGCCCUGCUCCUCGGGACCCAGCCCUG